GCAUGUCUUCCUUAACCUUAAUUCAAUUGUGUUAAACCUCCAUGAAUCAAACCCGGUGUCACAGGAUCUCUAUGAAAAAGAAGGCCAAAGUCCUGUGAGAUCCUGGGGCAACCACUUAACCACCGGCAAACUCUAACGCCCCCAUGUAGGACGGCGCUGUUUGUUUGGGUGACAGAUCCGCAGCAGCACCCAUCGUGUCCUUGCUGCCCGACGCUCCCCACCCUGAUCCCACUGCAUCAUCCCGUCCCGGCCGGAAGGUCACCGCUCGGACCGGGACACACGGUAACGAGCGGGAAAAAGAACCAAAGAUGGCCGCUGGAAGACGACGAAGGAGAAGGACAAGUGAUGCAGGGAACCAGGAUUGAGGCAACUGUACAAUCUGACUGCACCCACCACCGCCAGCCCUCGCCCCCAGACCAGUGUCCUGCGUGCUGGCCCCUCCGUCGGGCGUAACGAGAUGGGACCUGGCUCCUUGCAGAUUCUAUUACUCCACCACUCUAUUACAUUACAUCUCCAUUUACUGAGCUUAAGCAGCUCCCCGCUACAGGCUUGGGCUGCGACCUUGUCAAAGAGGAGAAGACUCCUGACCGCAGAGAGAGAUGGAGAGAGAGGGAGGUGGGGAGACACAAGAAGGGAGGCGAGAGAUGUGGAGACAGAGAGAGAGAGGUGGAGAGACGCAAAUAGAGGAGAGAGAGAGUGAGGUAGAGAGAUGAAAGAGAGAGAGGAAAGAGAGACAGCGAGACAAUAAGACAGAGAUGUCGAGAGAGAGGGC
ensembl:lncRNA